UCGGGCUUUGCUUAAUGACUCCUAAGUCUCCAGGAGACAGAUAAAAGGGAAAAGGCCCAGGUUAGUUUUGAUGACCUGGAGACACGCGAUGAGAAACAGAACAGUAAUAAAUGCAGACCCAGGCAUCCCUAAGGGAAUUUAGUCUUUAAAAUAUCACUAAAGGCUGGGCAGGGUAGCUCGUGCCUAUAAUUCCAGCACUUUAGGAGGCUGAGGUGGGAAGAUCACUUGACGCCAGGAGUUCAAGAACAGACUGGCCAACAUGAUGAAACCCUGUCUCCACUAAAAAUACCGCUCACAGACAGAAGGGACUUGCCUUGUCUCAGAUGAGACUUUGGACUUGAACUUUUGGGUUAAUGCUGGAAUGAGCUAAGACUCUGGGAACUGUUGAAAGGCAUGAUUGUGUUUCGAAAUAUGAGGACAUGAGAUUUGGGAUGGGCAAAAUGAUAUGGUUUGUCUGUGAAAUUAUAUGGUUUGGCUGUGGCCCCACCCAAAUCUAACCUUGAAUUAUAGUUCCCAUAAUAUCCCCACGUGUCGUGGGAGGAACCUGAUGGGAGAUAAUUGAAUCAUGAGGCCUGUUAGUGAGUUCUCAUGAGAUCUGAUGGUUUGAUAAGGGGCUUCUCCUUCCUGCCACCAUGUGAAGAAGGACAUACGUGCCUCCCUUUCCACCAUGAGUGCAAGCUUCCUGAGGCCUCCCAACCCCUGCAAAACUAUGAGUCAAUUAAACCUCUUUCCUUUAUAAACCA